rnacentral:rRNA from 1 species
CAUGCAGUCGACGGUAACAGGCCGCAAGGUGCUGACGAGUGGCGAACGGGUGAGUAAUGCAUCGGAACGUGCCCAGUCGUGGGGGAUGACUGCUCGAAAGAGCAGCUAAUACCGCAUACGACCUGAGGGUGAAAGCGGGGGACCGAAAGGCCUCGCGCGAUUGGAGCGGCCGAUGUCAGAUUAGGUAGUUGGUGGGGUAAAGGCCUACCAAGCCGACGAUCUGUAGUUGGUCUGAGAGGACGACCAGCCACACUGGGACUGAGACACGGCCCAGACUCCUACGGGAGGCAGCAGUGGGGAAUUUUGGACAAUGGGGGCAACCCUGAUCCAGCAAUGCCGCGUGCAGGAAGAAGGCCUUCGGGUUGUAAACUGCUUUUGUCAGGGAAGAAAUCCUGUGGGUUAAUACCUCGUGGGGAUGACGGUACCUGAAGAAUAAGCACCGGCUAACUACGUGCCAGCAGCCGCGGUAAUACGUAGGGUGCGAGCGUUAAUCGGAAUUACUGGGCGUAAAGCGUGCGCAGGCGGUUUUGUAAGACAGAGGUGAAAUCCCCGGGCUCAACCUGGGAACUGCCUUUGUGACUGCAAGGCUGGAGUACGGCAGAGGGGGAUGGAAUUCCGCGUGUAGCAGUGAAAUGCGUAGAUAUGCGGAGGAA